rnacentral:rRNA from 1 species
GACAGAGGGUGCAAACGUUGUUCGGAAUUACUGGGCGUAAAGCGCGUGUAGGCGGUCUGUUAAGUCUGAUGUGAAAUCCCCUCGCUCAACGAGGGAACUGCGUCGGAUACUGGCAGACUCGAGUACCGGAGAGGAAGGUGGAAUUCCCGGUGUAGCGGUGAAAUGCGUAGAUAUAGGAGGAACACCGGUGGCGAAGGCGGCCUUCUGGACGGAUACUGACGCUGAGACGCGAAAGCGUGGGGAGCAAACAGG